ACGAACGCUGGCGGCGUGCUUCAUACAUGCAAGUCGAACGAUAAGGCACCUUCGGGUGUACAUAAGUGGCGGACGGGUGAGUAAUAUGUAGAGAAUCUGCCCUAGAGAGCGGGACAACAGUUGGAAACGACUGCUAAUACCGCAUAUGAGCGUAGCUGAAAUGCUAUUCUUGAAAACUCCGGUGCUCUGGGAUGAGUCUGCAUCUGAUUAGCUAGUUGGGGGUGUAAUGGACCACCAAGGCGACGAUCAGUAGCUGGUUUGAGAGGAUGAUCAGCCACAAUGGGACUGAGACACGGCCCAUACUCCUACGGGAGGCAGCAGUAGGGAAUUUUGCGCAAUGGGGGAAACCCUGACGCCAGCAACGCCGCGUGACCGAUGAAGCCCUUCGGGGUGUAAAGGUCUGUCAGUGGGGACGAAUAUUGACGGUACCCACAGAGGAAGCAUCGGCUAACUCCGUGCCAGCCGCCGC
rnacentral:rRNA from 1 species